UGGCGGCCGGGGAGGCGGAGUGGGUGGAGCGCCUGGUCGAUGUCUCGCUCCUGCUGAUUCAUGUUAUGGGAGACAUUGACGUCCCUCACGGAGAGAACGCUCCCUGGGCUGCCUGCCCCCGGGUCGGCUUCAGACCGUCCGCCCAGCGUUGACCUCGGUCUGCCUGAGGAGGAAAAGGCACCCCAUGGACCCGUCCUGUUGGUAGGUCACUGGACGAACACGUGUUACAUACAACCCCACGUCCACUGCGGUGACACAGGGGGCCCCCAGAUCAGACACGUGUGCUCGGACUCAGCGCACGGCCCACACUGUGCCCCUCUGACUUCUGGGGAGUCGGGGACCCCCAGGUUAGUGGUGGAGGGGCAGCGUUCCUCUCUGCCUCUGGCCUCCUUGUUCCUGGGACGGGCGCGGGUCAGGGCUUCGUUGCCACUGGAUGGAAGAUGCAGUCUCGGUACCAGGAGAAACCAGCUCUGCUGGCUGAGAACAAGACGAGGAAACGUAACGUGAGCACCAGGGCUGCUCCUGGCCGGCUGUCGGGGCUCCGGCUGCUGGGAGUGGAGGAGCCUGAGCCCCCGCCGCGCGGGCGGUUUCGUAGGUUGAGGUGGGUCAGGAGCUGUGGGUGCUCGAGGCCCAGCGAGCGCCUUUUCCUGAAAGGACUGCCGCCUGGGCCUUCCUCAUGGACCCCAGGCCUCUGGAGGCUGGAGGAGCCCCGCCCUGGCACGGCGCCGGGGGGGGGGGGGGGGUCCUGGAGGUGGCGGAGGCUUCACUCCUGACCACAGAUGUGGUCCUUUCACUGCUGCACCACUGAGCCCCCUGCCGGCGGGUCCGGCGUCCUCGCUGCCCUCACUGACCCCGGCUGGAGUCUGGCCCCGGGAACGGUACCAGGUGCCGUGGGUUAGGAGGGACUCGUUUUCUCCAGGUGCCGUGUUGAAACCGGUGGGUCCGAAGGCGGCAGUAGCCACUGGUGUGGUCCGUGUCUGCUCCGGCGCCGGCCAGGCCUGUUCCCAGGAGGCUGGGCGCUCGCUGGGUGUGAGCACCUGCUGUCUGGCGAGUAGGAGGCGGUGACAGUGACUGGUUUUAUGAAGUGAAAGUCGCCAGCUCAGCACCUGAGUGCAGUUGGAGCCGCGCUGGAGGGUCAGGUGCUGGGAAUGGAGGCUCUGCCGUCGGAAAGUGCCUGGCGUUUGGGCUGAAGGUGGGCCUCCCGGGUGUGAGCCUGACCGUCCUGCCUCGUGCCCGUCGUCCCCUUGGACGACACGUGAGCAGAUGGGGUCCCAGGCUCGUCGGCUCCUCUGCCCCCGCCAGCCUCGGCGAUGCCUUUGGCCCGUGAUUGGCACGGCCCUCGUGGAGGCUUCGGGCCUCGCGGGCGUGUGGUCUGCGACCCGCUCGCUGCCCUUCCGGUCUGCUCUCCAUGUUUGUAGCCAAAGGGAUCAUUUAAAAUAAACCUGGUUAUCGUAUUUUUCCUCUGGGAAAA